rnacentral:rRNA from 1 species
UUAUAGACCCUGUUGCGGGGUGGAGCAGCUUGGCAGCUCGUCGGGCUCAUAACCCGAAGGUCGUAGGUUCAAAUCCUACCCCCGCUACCAAGAUUCGCAGUACAGUGGUAUUGUUCUUUACCAACCGAGUGGAGAUGUGUGGGGUUUAGGCCCAGGGGUAUUAUUGGUGCUUAGGCACUGGUGAUUACCCUGAGCAGUAUUGUUUUAAAAUGGAUUGAACGAGAGAGUUUGAUCCUGGCUCAGAUUGAACGCUGGCGGCAUGCCUAACACAUGCAAGUCGAACGGUAGCAGGCCUUCGGGUGCUGACGAGUGGCGGACGGGUGAGUAAUGCGUAGGAAUCUGUCUUUUAGUGGGGGACAACCCAGGGAAACUUGGGCUAAUACCGCAUGAGCCC